AACGCACAUUGCGCUCUUUGGUAUUCCGAAGAGCAUGCCUGUUUGAGCGUAAUUUAAAUUACCCUUACCUAUUUCCCCCAUUUUCUGAAAGGAAGAAAGGGGAGGUAUGGUAGUUUUGGUUGUGUAGGGCCUUAAUUCUAUUGGGGGCCUACUCGACUGAAAUUGAUUGCAGAUUUUUUAAAGUGUGAUAAGAAAUUACUCGCUUUUCCUUAUGGACAUGUAUUUUUAAUAUGUGUUCUGAAAUCCUUUUGCAAGAAUUUAUUUUACACCAUUUUUACCUCAAAUCAGGUAGGACUACGCGCUGAACUUAA
rnacentral:misc_RNA from 1 species